UACGUAGGGGGCAAGCGUUGUCCGGAAUCAUUGGGCGUAAAGGGCGCGUAGGCGGCCAACUAAGUCUGAUGUGAAAGUCCUGCUUUUAAGGUGGGAAUUGCUUUGGAAACUGGAUGGCUUGAGUGCAGGAGAGGUUAGUGGAAUUCCCGGUGUAGCGGUGAAAUGCGUAGAGAUCGGAAGGAACACCAGUGGCGAAGGCGACUAACUGGACUGUAACUGACGCUGAGGCGCGAAAGUGUGGGGAGCAAACAGG
rnacentral:rRNA from 1 species